AUUGUUCUGACUUUCGCUGACGUGUGAAUAUUUUGUUUAUUUAUUUAUUCACUUAUUUUUGUCAUCGUUGUUGAAGUGUUCCCAGUCGCCUUUGAAAAGUUCCCUGCACCCUCCAGCAGCCGCCACUCCUGCACGUUGCGUAGUCACACCAUUGCCGCACAGAGAUGCCUACCACCUCCUUCUGAUUUAUUUCCACCUAAAUAUUUUCACGUGGCUCUGCACCUCAGCCUGCCUUCCACCACACACAGUGUGUGUGUGUGUGUGUGUGUGUGUGACUAGUACUACAAAAGGACCAGUGACAGCGGUGUUUGGAAGCAGCAACGUGGCGGCGGUGGCGGAGAUAAUCAUAAUUGUUGGCGCGGGACAGGAGGCCAGUGUGGAGGGCGUGUACAGAGGCAAACGGCACUAGUGGUUAAGCUGUGCGCGUUCAGAGUGUUGGCGAGUGAAUGAGGAUAGUAUGGAGGCCUUCAGUGUCGUUAGAGAGAAGGUGCUUCGCCUCGUGUCUCGUGUUCACGGAGUGGGUCGGUGGUGGAGAGGGUGGCGGGUGGUGGGCAUGCGCGAUCACGGCUGUGAGCUGAGAGCCUCUCAGAGUAUAGGCGACUGGAGUCCCUAAGCCAGUGAGGGAGAGAAGGUUUAUGGUAUAGGAUUUAUUAAUAUUGAUGUUGUUUUGUUUGGUUCUGUCAUGAUUUGCCUGCUACUUAUUUUCCUUGUGGUGCAGUGAAGUGAAUGGCGUGUGGCGGUGAGGUGAAGCAUGGCGUGUCCCUCGAUCUGGUGCUGAGCGCGGUACUUGGUUUUGACUUACUGCCUAAACACGGGCUUACUGAUGGCUGUGGCACGCACCAAGGGCGAUAAUGGCGAUGCGAGGAAGGAAAACCUGUGCUAAGUUCUGAGGUGCGGUGACAAAAUUACUGUGUUGUGAGUGAAUAAAAUUCGUUCCGUAAGCCGCGGCCGCCUGUCACUGAUGUUCUGCUGUUACGUUGUUGUUGCCGUGAUCCAGUUACACAGUGAAAGAGAUCGUCGUGAUCCCAGUGCAGCACUGUAAUGCCGUGCUGCCGGGAGUGUUGCCGUGCUGCCUUGCUGCCAGGAAGUGCUGUCGUGUGCUGGGAAGUGUUGCCGCGCUGCCGGCAGGAGUAAGUGGACCUGCUGGUGGACUACAGACUGAACACAAGCAUUGACAAGCAGUACAGGGCAUUUCAUGAUGGCUUCUGCAGGGUGUGGGACGGUUUUGUGCUCAAACUUUUCCAGCCAAUGGAACUUAUGGACUUGGUCACCGGCAAUGAAAAUUAUUUCUGGACUGAGUUGGAAAAGAAUGCUGAAUAUAAGAUUAAGUUAGUUAAGGGUGAGUACUUCCCAGACCAUCCAGUCACUCACACGUGCUUGGAAGUCUUUCGUGAGCUCUCGCUGGAACAGAAAAUGUUUUCAAGUUUCUGACGGGGACUCACCAGGUUCUUCUACUAGGCAUGAGCGAGAGA